rnacentral:rRNA from 1 species
AAGUCGUAACAAGGUCUCCGUUGGUGAACCAGCGGAGGGAUCAUUACCGAGUUAACAACUCCCAAACCCCUAUGUGAACCUAUACCAAACGUUGCUUCGGCGGGAACGCCCCGGCUCAGCCCGGAACCAGGCGCCCGCCGAGGACCCCCAAACCCAUGUUUCUUACAGUUUUUUCUGAGUGGCAAACGCAAAAUAAAUUAAAACUUUUAACAACGGAUCUCUUGGCUCUGGCAUCGAUGAAGAACGCAGCGAAAUGCGAUACGUAGUGUGAAUUGCAGAAUUCAGUGAAUCAUCGAAUCUUUGAACGCACAUUGCGCCCGCCAGCAUUCUGGCGGGCAUGCCUGUCCGAGCGUCAUUUCAACCCUCAGGGUCCCCCCGCCUCGCGCGGUCGGAGCCUGGUGUUGGGGAUCGGCCCGCCCCGCGCGGCGCCGUCCCCCAAAUACAGUGGCGGUCCCGCCGCAGCCUCCCCUGCGCAGUAGUUAUCAACUCGCACUGGGGCGCGGCGCGGCCACGCCGUAAAGCCCCCGACUUUCUGAACGUUGACCUCGGAUCAGGUAGGAAUACCCGCUGAACUUAAGCAUAUCAAUAAGCGGAGGAAAAGAAACCAACAGGGAUUGCCUCAGUAACGGCGAGUGAAGCGGCAACAGCUCAAAUUUGAAAUCUGGCCCCAGGCCCGAGUUGUAAUUUGCAGAGGAUGCUUUUGGCGCGGUGCCUUCCGAGUUCCCUGGAACGGGACGCCAUAGAGGGUGAGAGCCCCGUCUGGUUGGACACCAAGCCUUUGUAAAGCUCCUUCGACGAGUCGAGUAGUUUGGGAAUGCUGCUCUAAAUGGGAGGUACAUGUCUUCUAAAGCUAAAUACCGGCCAGAGACCGAUAGCGCACAAGUAGAGUGAUCGAAAGAUGAAAAGCACUUUGGAAAGAGAGUUAAACAGCACGUGAAAUUGUUAAAAGGGAAGCGUUUAUGACCAGACGUGGGCCGGUUAAUCAUCCAGCGUUCUCGCUGGUGCACUUUGCCGGUCCAGGCCAGCAUCAGUUCGUUGCGGGGGAUAAAGGCUUUGGGAAUGUAGCUCCUCGGAGUGUUAUAGCCCUUUGCGUAAUACCCUGCGUCGGACUGAGGUUCGCGCUCUGCAAGGAUGCGGCGUAAUGGUCAUCAACGACC